ACUAGGUCAGACAAUAUUCUUUUGGGUUAUUGGGAUUGUUGUUGUUGGGUACAAACUCGAACAAUGCAUUGGUGCCUAGUCGAGAUGAGAUCUUCAGCCAACUGAGCAUAUUCUAGCACCUCGGCAUAUGAGCUAAGUCUUAGCAUCGUAACCUAAUAUAGAUGUCGGCACGAAGGCCUUUCAGAAACUUCCUACCUUUAUGACUUUCGGGAGUGACCAUUAGAGGAGCAAACUUAGACAAUUAGAU
rnacentral:lncRNA from 1 species